rnacentral:rRNA from 1 species
UUUAAACUAGGGAUGAGAUACCCUAUUAUUUUUAUUAAAUUAAAUUUAAUUAUUUAUUAAAUGUGAAACAUUAAAAAUAAAAAAUUUGGCGGUACUUAAUAUUUAGAGGAACUUGUUUGUUAAAUUGAUAAUCCACGAGUGGAAAAACUUAAUUUGAUAAUUUUAUGUAUUGUUGUUGAAAAAUUGUAUUAGGAGAUAAAAAUUAAAAAAUUUAAUUUAAUUAUAAUUCAAAUCAAAAUGUAGAAUAGUUAAGAAUUUAAAUGAGUUACAAUUAAAUAGAUAAUUGGAUUUUAUAAUUUAAUUUGUAAAUGAAAAUGGAUUUAAAAGUAAAUUUAUAAAAAUAUAUAAAUCAAA